rnacentral:rRNA from 1 species
UACGUAGGUGGCGAGCGUUGUCCGGAUUUACUGGGCGUAAAGGGAGCGUAGGCGGACCUUUAAGUGAGAUGUGAAAUACUCGGGCUCAACUUGAGUGCUGCAUUUCAAACUGGAGGUCUAGAGUGCAGGAGAGGAGAAUGGAAUUCCUAGUGUAGCGGUGAAAUGCGUAGAGAUUAGGAAGAACACCAGUGGCGAAGGCGAUUCUCUGGACUGUAACUGACGCUGAGGCUCGAAAGCGUGGGGAGCAAACAGG